rfam:Marine metagenome 1092343712704, whole genome shotgun sequence.
AGAUAUGUGCUCACGUCACUCUCCUCUAGGAUAUUUACCCUUUCCUAGAAAUUGUCGUGGGCACUAAAAA